GAGGCUGCACAGCUCUGUGAGAUGCCUCAGAGCCCCGGCAGCACAUCCCGCCCAGUGCUCCGCAAAACUAUUCUGACCCACAGAACAAAAUUCCAGGAGCCGGGCUGGGGGCGGGCUGACCUCUAACCUCAGAGUCUGCCUGGCCACCCACCCCCAGGGAAGGAACGUGGCCAAGCCUCGAGGGCUGACCGGCUGCAGAAGAGCCUGUCUCAGCUGCUGGCCACCGGGCCCUGCCCAGCACCCCAGAAUGGAGUCUGAGAGAGUUUACAGGCUAGCUUCAAGUGCACCAAGUAGCCCAGGAUGACGCCAGACUCCUGAUCCCAACCAUGUUUCGCAACCAUGCCUGUUUUCUGCAGUGCUGAAGAUGAACCCAUCAGGGCUUUCAUGCUGCUAAGCCAACGUUCUACCCACUGCUCUACCCCCCAUUUCUCUUUUUGUGAUUAAAUUAAAUAUGUAUCU
rnacentral:lncRNA from 1 species